GACAGAGGGUGCAAACGUUGUUCGGAAUUACUGGGCGUAAAGCGCGUGUAGGCGGCCCUGCAAGUCGGGUGUGAAAUCCCAUGGCUCAACCAUGGAAGUGCACUCGAAACUGCAGGGCUAGAGUCCUGGAGAGGAAGGUGGAAUGCUUGGUGUAGAGGUGAAAUUCGUAGAUAUCAAGCGGAACACCGGUGGCGAAGGCGGCCUUCUGGACAGUGACUGACGGCUGAGACG
rnacentral:rRNA from 1 species